UAAAUCCAACUCGGAGUAUUGAAAUUAGGUGAUAUCAUAGAACAAUUCAAUGAGAAAUAAAUUAAUUUUUCUUAUAAAUUGUUGGCCUCCUUUUUUAAAAUUUUUAGUAUCCUGCUAUUUCAAUUAAAUAAUAGAAGGACAAGUGUUAUAGUUUUUUUUUUUUUUUUUGAGGGGGGACAAGUGUUAUGGCUGAUACUAAUAGUUGUAAAAGCAUUUUGACCUUUGACCCUUAACCACGUCGAAAGGUUCCAAAGACUAAGUUAGCGAGGUGCUCAAAAAUGUUAUUCAUAAAUUGACAUUCAGAUAUGCAUCAUCAAUUAUAGAUUAAAUUCACGAAUAUGAUUGGUAAUAUCGUAAUUAGUUUAUGAUUAUAAUGAUGAUCAUCAAAAUAUUAUUAAUACUUAAAUGC
rnacentral:lncRNA from 1 species